UACGAAGGGGGCGAGCGUUGUUCGGAAUUACUGGGCGUAAAGGGCAUGCAGGCGGUCGGACGCGUUUCGGGUGACAGCGGGUGGCUUAACUACCCGAGUGGUCGAAAGACGGUUUGACUUGAGGACGCGAGAGGGACACGGAAUUCCGGGUGGAGUGGUGAAAUGCGUAGAGAUCCGGAGGAACACCGAAGGCGAAGGCAGUGUCCUGGCGCGUAACUGACGCUGAGGUGCGAAAGCCAGGGGAGCGAACGGG
rnacentral:rRNA from 1 species